rnacentral:sRNA from 1 species
AAGUCGAUUUGGGAAUAACCAAGAUUCGGGAAGAGAAAGUUGGCCAACACUAUUGAGUAUGACAACUAGGUGGGGUUGAAAAUGGAGAUAUAGAAACGUUUUUGGGAAAAUAGGGAAAUACCGUGAUAGAAUUCAGUUCGUCAAAGAUAUAGCAGCGGAGGUCAAAAAAGCUUUUAAUGUUACAAGAAGCAGCACAAACAGGGGAUGUCGGGUUGAGAGGUUGAUCGGUUGGAAAAGGCCGGGUGAAGGCUAGGUUAAGGUGUCCACGGACGGGGCUUCACAUGGAAACCCAGGACCAACCACAGCUGGAGACGUAAUGCAGGAUAUACUAAAGAUGAAAAGCUAAAAACAAUCAAACUUUAUAACUAAACU